AGCAGCCGCGGUAAUUCCAGCUCCAAUAGCGUAUAUUAAAGUUGUUGCAGUUAAAAAGCUCGUAGUUGAAUUUCGGGAUCAAUAUGCUGGUCGUGCCAUCGGUACGUACUGGUAUUAUUGGUUUCUCCCUUCUGAUGAAUCAUGAUGUCAUUAAUUUGAUGUCAUGGGGAAUCAGGACUAGUUACUUUGAAAAAAUUAGAGUGUUUAAAGCAGGCUCGCGCUUGAAUACAUUAGCAUGGAAUAAUGAAAUAGGACGUUUGAUUCUAUUUUGUUGGUUUCUAGGAUUGACGUAAUGAUUAAUAGGGAUAGUUGGGGGCAUUAGUAUUCAAUUGUCAGAGGUGAAAUUCUUGGAUUUAUUGAAGACUAACUACUGCGAAAGCAUUUGUCCAAGGAUGUUUUCAUUAAUCUAGGAACGAAAGUUAGGGGAUCGAAGACGAUCAGAUACCGUCGUAGUCUUAACCAUAAACCUAUGCCGACUAGGGAUCGGAUGAUGUUAAAUUAUUAGACUC
rnacentral:rRNA from 1 species